GCGGAUGUGGCGGAAUGGCAGACGCGCGGCGUUCAGGUCGCCGUGUCCUUAUGGGCGUGGAGGUUCGAAUCCUCUCAUCCGCA
rnacentral:tRNA from 1 species